AAAGGAAAAAAAAAAUUAGGGUUUCAGUUUUCUUUUAGGUAUGUUCGCCGAAGUGCUAUUUAAACGCCCUGAAGGGUAUCCCCAUCUCAUUCUCCUUCGUCUCUUUACCUCUGCCUUGGCCAUUUUGCGGCAAACCUUAUGGAUCCUAGUCGCAAGAAUACCGGCAUCCGAUGUUUAUUCAUCUUCGGCAUGCCUUGAUUGCGUCAAUGGGUUUCAGUUUUUUUUUCUUUUUUUAUUUUAGUUUCGUUGAUAUUUCUGAUCCAAGUGUUCACUGAUUCAAUACAUUUGUUUCAUUUGUCAAUGGCAGUGAUGACGAAUUCAUAUACCAUCAAACUAUGAAAACUUUGCCUUCUUUGUAGGAGCUGAUGUGCUCGUAAUGUAUCGAAUAUGAAAUUGCAUUAAGGCAAUAAAUUAGAGUCUCUGAGGCGCUCUUUUCCGUAGCGUCUUCAGCGCUGUACGUUGCCAACAAGAAUUUGGGGCCGAGAUUCUGGCACUUUCCUUAACCUCCUAAGGCUUGUGCAUUCAGGUGCUCCUAAAUUUUGAAUAUAUCGCAAUUUUGAUAUUCCUAAAUUACCAUCUUUUUAGGUCCAUUGCUUCAUUUAAGCGGACUACGCUUUGCCCUUCUUUUCUUUUUUAUUUACUACAAUCAUUUUCUUGAACAGAUUGGUGUUUGGAAUAUAUGAUUUUUCGAAUGUUCUUCCUUUUAUUAGUUCACUCUCAACCCAGGUAGAGACCAUCCUUGUUCUAAUGGUUGGAGUAUUGUUAAUACAUGGAUUUUUAGUCAUAUUCCAGUUUUAAAAUAUGUUAAUACGUCGGUAGAGGAUUAAUCGACCACUUGGCCUUGAUAAUUUGAUUACAAUUAUUUUUUAAUUGCAGAAAUAGCGGCUGGCAGAAUUUGGAGGACUCUUUUGCAACUGCGUGCAGUGAUUAAUUGUGAAGAAACAAGAUACUGAAUUUGGAGCCUAAUGUUUAAUGAAUCUAAAACAUGUAUUGAGGACUGGAGGAGCGAAAUGAUUGUUUAAUGAAUCUGUAAUCCUCCACCUUUUGUAAUAAUUUGAAACCAUAUGCUUCACCAAGAAAGGUCAAACCAAACUUCAAUGAAAGAAAACAAUUUGAAUUUAAAUC